AACGAACGCUGGCGGCAUGCCUAAUACAUGCAAGUCGAACGAGAUCUUCGGAUCUAGUGGCGCACGGGUGCGUAACGCGUGGGAAUCUGCCCUUGGGUUCGGAAUAACUUCUGGAAACGGAAGCUAAUACCGGAUGAUGACGUAAGUCCAAAGAUUUAUCGCCCAAGGAUGAGCCCGCGUAGGAUUAGCUAGUUGGUGGGGUAAAGGCCCACCAAGGCGACGAUCCUUAGCUGGUCUGAGAGGAUGAUCAGCGACACUGGGACUGAGACACGGCCCGUACUCCUACGGGAGGCAGCAGUAGGGAAUAUUGGACAAUGGGCGCAAGCCUGAUCCAGCAAUGCCGCGUGAGUGAUGAAGGCCUUAGGGUUGUAAAGCUCUUUUACCCGGGAUGAUAAUGACAGUACCGGGAGAAUAAGCUCCGGCUAACUCCGUGCCAGCCGCCGCAGUAACAC
rnacentral:rRNA from 1 species